AAUCUUGCGCAAUGGCCGAAAGGCUGACGCAGCGACGCCGCGUGUGGGAGGACGCCUUUCGGGGUGUAAACCACUGUUGCCCGGGACGAACACGGCUAUUCGUAGCCGCUGACGGUACCGGGUGAGGAAGCACCGGCUAACUCCGUGCCAGCAGCCGCGGUAAAACGUAGGAGACAAACGUUAUCCGGAGUUACUGGGCGUAAAGGGCGUGUAGGUGGUUUCGUAAGUCUGGCGUGAAAUUUUUCGGCUUAACCGGGAAAGGUCGUCGGAUACUGCGGGACUAGAGGACGGUAGAGGCGUGUGGAAUUCCGGGUGUAGUGGUGAAAUGCGUAGAGAUCCGGAGGAACACCAGUGGCGAAGGCGACACGCUGGGCCGUACCUGACACUGAUGCGCGACAGCAUGGGGAGCAAAC
rnacentral:rRNA from 1 species